rnacentral:rRNA from 1 species
UGGCCUACGGGGCGCAGCAGUGGGGAAUAUUGCACAAUGGGGGAAACCCUGAUGCAGCAACGCCGCGUGAGUGAAGAAGUCAUUCGUGAUGUAAAGCUCUAUCAGCAGGGAAGAAAAUGACGGUACCUGAGUAAGAAGCCCCGGCUAACUACGUGCCAGCAGCCGCGGUAAUACGUAGGGGGCAAGCGUUAUCCGGAUUUACUGGGCGUAAAGGGAGCGUAGGCGGACUUUUAAGUGAGAUGUGAAAUACUCGGGCUCAACUUGAGUGCUGCAUUUCAAACUGGAAGUCUAUAGUGCAGGAGAGG